rnacentral:lncRNA from 1 species
CAGGACUGGGUUGCACAAACGUCUAUUAAAGUUAAUAGUCUAUUAAAAGUACACUUAAAUUUAAUAGUCUAUUACUUGCGUUGCACAAAAUUUAAUUAACGUUAAUAGUCUAUUAACUCACUAUUAAAUUUAAUUGAACGAAGGAGCGCUAUUAAGGAUGUUCGCCACUCUGUUAAAAAAUAACAAGCUUUUUAAAAGACUAUUAUGAAUUGAUAGUAUAUAAAUAAAGAAACUAAAAAAGUAGAAAAAAAGAGGGUCCGUGUGCUCGUUUUCUAGAUAUAAGCCAUUGAAAAUUUGGCGGGAAUUAAUUCUCUCUAGGUUUUUUAUAUAUUCAACAUUGGCACCUUAUUUGUUUCAAAAACUAUGAAAAAAUAACAAGAAUUUUAUAAAAUUUUGAAAUAUGUCUUUUUAAACUUUGUGUAAAUAAAUGAUGAAAAGAAAAGUAGGGGUUAGUGGGCAAGUUUUUUUAACGACAAUACAUGGAUAAAACCAGAGAAUUCCGAAAAUCUGGCAAAAAAUCAAAAUAUGGAGGAGCAAACAUCCUUAA